AGAGUUUGAUCCUGGCUCAGGACGAACGCUGGCGGCGUGUCUAACACAUGCAAGUCAGGGAGAAAAGGGUAGCAAUAUCCUGAGUAAACCGGCGAACGGGUGAGUAACACGUAGGUAACUUGCCUUAGAGUUUGGGAUAACCCCGCGAAAGUGGGGCUAAUACCGAAUGAUGCGAUUUAUCCGCAUGGAUGAAUUGUCAAAGUUUCGAGAAAUCGAAACGCUCUAAGAUAGACCUGCGCCCGAUUAGUUAGUUGGCGAGGUAAGAGCUCACCAAGACAAUGAUCGGUAGCCGGCCUGAGAGGGUGAUCGGCCACACUGGGACUGGGAUACGGCCCAGACUCCUACGGGAGGCAGCAGUGAGGAAUAUUGGUCAAUGGACGAAAGUCUGAACCAGCAACGCCGCGUGAGGGAUGAAGGUCUAAGGAUCGUAAACCUCUGUUAGAGGAGACGAAUAAUCUCGAAUUGGCGAGAUUUGACGGUAUCCUCAGAGAAAGCCCCGGCUAACUCCGUGCCAGCAGCCGCGGUAAUACGGGGGGGGCUAGCGUUGUCCGGAAUUAUUGGGCGUAAAGGGCGCGUAGGCGGAAUUGUAAGUCAGUGGUUAAAUUUCGGGACUUAACUCCGAAUCUGCCUCUGAGACUGCGAUUCUUGAGCGCGAAAGAGGAAAGCGGAAUUNCCGGUGUAGCCGGUGAAAUGCGUAGAUAUCGGGAAGAACAC
rnacentral:rRNA from 1 species